AGAACGAACGCUGGCGGCAGGCCUAACACAUGCAAGUCGAGCGCUGUAGCAAUACAGAGCGGCGCACGGGAGAGUAACGCGUGGGAAUCUACCUUUUGGUUCGGAAUAACACCGGGAAACUGGUGCUAAUACCGGAUAAGCCCUUCGGGGGAAAGAUUUAUUGCCAAAAGAUGAGCCCGCGUUGGAUUAGCUAGUUGGUGAGGUAAAAGCUCACCAAGGCAACGAUCCAUAGCUGGUCUGAGAGGAUGAUCAGCCUCACUGGGACUGAGACACGGCCCAGACUCCUACGGGAGGCAGCAGUGGGAAUAUUGGACAAUGGGGGAAACCCUGAUCCAGCCAUGCCGCGUGAAUGAUGAAGGCCUUCGGGUUGUAAAGUUCUUUGACAGGGAAGAUGAUGACGGUACCUGUAGAAUAAGCUCCGGCUAACUUCGCGCCAGCAGCCGC
rnacentral:rRNA from 1 species